GCAAUACACGAAAGUGUGACGGGGUUACCCAGAGUGUUCAAUUUUGAACUGUGGUAGGUGAGUAAUGUUCCCUACUAGAAAGGAGAGGGCAAGGCUGGUGCCAGCCGCCGCGGUAAAACCAGCUCUUCAAGUGGUCGGGAUAAUUAUUGGGCUUAAAGUGUCCGUAGCCGGUUUAGUAAGUUCCUGGUAAAAUCGGGUAGCUUAACUAUCUAUAUGCUAGGAAUACUGCUAUACUAGAGGGCGGGAGAGGUCUGAGGUACUACAGGGGUAGGGGUGAAAUCUUGUAAUCCCUGUGGGACCACCAGUGGCGAAGGCGUCUUACCAGAACGGGUCCGACGGUGAGGGACGAAAGCUGGGGGCACGAACCGGAUUAGAUACCCGGGUAGUCCCAGCCGUAAACGAUGUUCGCUAGGUGUCAGGGACGGUGCGGCCGUUUCUGGUGCCGUAGGGAAGCCGUGAAGCGAACCACCUGGGAAGUACGGCCGCAAGGCUGAAACUUAA
rnacentral:rRNA from 1 species